AGAGGUUUAUUUAUUUAUUUAUUUAUUUAUUUAUUUAUUUUUUGAGACAGAGUCUCGCUCUGUUGCCCAGGCUGGAGUGCAGUGGCGCGAUCUCCCCUCACCGCAAGCUCCGCCUCCCGGGUUCACGCCAUUCUCCUGCCUCAGCCUCCCAAGUAGCUGGGAUUACAGGCGCCCACCACCACGCCUGGCUAAUUUUUUGUAAUUUUAGUAGAGACAGGGUUUCCCCAUGUUAGGCAGGAUGGUCUCGAUCUCCUGACCUCGUGAUCCACCCGCCUCAGCCUCCCAAAGUGCUGGGAUUACAGGCAUGAGCCACCGCGCCUGGCCGAGGUUUAUUCUUUGAUGAAACAAAUUCUUGAGUAAAUAUAAUUCUGGAAGAGAUUAAAACCCUUCCAAAGUGGAUUAGGAGAUAAUAACUAACUAACUUUCCAGUGUUUAGGAUGGUGCCUAGCAUAUACUAAAUGCUUAUAAUGCAUCGUCUCUUUGAAUCUUAACCUUUAGAGAUACCAUUAUCCAACUUUACAGAUGAGGAAAUAAGUGAUUAUAUAUAACCCCUGGGUUACCCAGCUUACCAGUGGCAGAGUUGAAAAUAGGGAGUUUCAGUCUAGAAAAUGCUCUUAAUUCCCAUAAUAAGGAUUCUUGAUCUUACUUGAAG
rnacentral:lncRNA from 10 species